GAUGAACGCUGGCGGCGUGCCUAAUACAUGCAAGUCGAGCGAACAGAUGAGGAGCUUGCUCCUCUGACGUUAGCGGCGGACGGGUGAGUAACACGUGGAUAACCUACCUAUAAGACUGGGAUAACUGCGGGAAACCGGAGCUAAUACCGGAUCAUAUAUUGAACCGCAUGGUUCACUAGUGAAAGACGGUUUUGCUGUCACUUAUAGAUGGAUCCGCGCCGCAUUAGCUAGUUGGUAAGGUAACGGCUUAACAAGGCAACGAUGCGUAGCCGACCUGAGAGGGUUAUCGGCCACACUGGAACUGAGACACGGGCCAGACUCCUACGGGAGGCAGCAGUAGGGAAUCUUCCGCGAUGGGCGAAGGCCUGACGGAGCAACGCCGCGUGGGUGAUGAAGGUCUUCGGAUCGUAAAACUCUGUUAUUAGGGAAGAACAAAUGUGUAAGUAACUAUGCACGUCUUGACGGUACCUAAUCAGAAAGCCACGGCUAACUACGUG
rnacentral:rRNA from 1 species